UACGAAGGGGGCUAGCGUUGUUCGGAUUUACUGGGCGUAAAGCGCACGUAGGCGGAUCGUUAAGUCGGGGGUGAAAUCCUGGAGCUCAACUCCAGAACUGCCUUCGAUACUGGCGAUCUUGAGUCCGGAAGAGGUGAGUGGAACUCCUAGUGUAGAGGUGGAAUUCGUAGAUAUUAGGAAGAACACCAGUGGCGAAGGCGGCUCACUGGUCCGGUACUGACGCUGAGGCACGAAAGCGUGGGGAGCAAACAGGG
rnacentral:rRNA from 1 species